UACGUAGGUGGCAAGCGUUGUUCGGAAUUACUGGGCGUAAAGGGCUCGUAGGUGGCCAACUAAGUCAGACGUGAAAUCCCUCAGCUUAACUGGGGAACUGCGUCUGAGACUGGAUGGCUUGAGUGCAGGAGAGGAACGCGGAAUUCCAGGUGUAGCGGUGAAAUGCGUAGAUAUCUGGAGGAACACCGGUGGCGAAGGCGGCGUUCUGGACUGCAACUGACACUGAUGAACGAAAGCCAGGGAGCAAACGGG
rnacentral:rRNA from 1 species